AGAGUUUGAUCAUGGCUCAGAUUGAACGCUGGCGGAAUGCUUUACACAUGCAAGUCGAACGGCAGCACGGGAGCUUCGCUCCUGGUGGCGAGUGGCGAACGGGUGAGUAAUGCGUCGGAACGUACCGAGUAAUGGGGGAUAACGCAGCGAAAGUUGUGCUAAUACCGCAUACGCCCUGAGGGGGAAAGUGGGGGAUCGCAAGACCUCACGUUAUUCGAGCGGCCGACGUCUGAUUAGCUAGUUGGUGGGGUAAAGGCCUACCAAGGCGACGAUCAGUAGCGGGUCUGAGAGGAUGAUCCGCCACACUGGGACUGAGACACGGCCCAGACUCCUACGGGAGGCAGCAGUGGGGAAUUUUGGACAAUGGGGGCAACCCUGAUCCAGCCAUUCCGCGUGAGUGAAGAAGGCCUUCGGGUUGUAAAGCUCUUUCAGUCUGGAACGAAACGGUGCGUUGCUAACAUGGAGCGCUGCUAAUGACGGUACCAGCAUGAAGAAGCACCGGCUAACUACGUGCCAGCAGCCGCGGUAAUACGUAGGGUGCGAGCGUUAAUCGGAAUUACUGGGCGUAAAGCGUGCGCAGGCGGAUUGUUAAGCAAGAUGUGAAAUCCCCGGGACUUAACCUGGGAAGUGGCAUUUUGAACUGGCAGUCUAGAGUGCGUCAGAGGGGGGUGGAAUUCCACGUGUAGCAGUGAAAUGCGUAGAGAUGUGGAGGAACACCGAUGGCGAAGGCAGCCCCCUGGGAUGACACUGACGCUCAUG
rnacentral:rRNA from 1 species